AUAAACUUUUUUUUUGCUUUUUGUUUUGCUUUUCCAACCAUGACUGAUUUAUUGACAAAGAAGGAAACGGAUUUGGAUUAGCGCAACGUUUUACAGCACUGCUUAAGUAGAUUGAACGGUUGGGGCUGGUUUGUGACGGAAUUAAGACAUUCUGUUGUCUUCUUCUUUCCAUUGGAAAUACGAAGUCGUUCUUGGAAUUUGUGGAGCUAGAAGCUAAACCUUGACACCGAUCAAACAGGAUGUUCUGAGUACGUGUGACCGCCAUCGCGCCAAUUCAUCAAGCUUCCAUGCGCUUACAUUGUGCAACCACCAUAGUCACUAGGCUCGGACCAGACGCAGUAAAGUAGGCCUUGCAGUGAAGGUUUCGCUAUUUUGCUCACCAUCGCCCAUCGUCCCUGUCACCCAUAGUGGCCAGUGUGAUCACUCUUGCCAGUGACUCUCUCAAUGCCAUUCGUUAUUGUGCGCGAGGCGCGCUACGGUUUUUCACUACUCCGAGUCCGAAAUACCAACCCGUACCCGACCGUGCAAUUACCGUGGGAACUAUCGGAAUGCGUACCAAUUAAUUCUCACCGGUGUGUGAAACUAUUAGCACCUUCUUCGUUUGGACUGCAUCAGCAGCAGCAGCAGCAGCGGCGGCAAACUCCGAACCGACCGCGAGGCCGCUGGAUCCAACUGGAGCAGAAGAGAGUAGAUCGAAGCUAGCCGCGGCUAGGAUUCCUUCGAAUAACCACGGAAUGGUAGCUCGGCUCAAGAUUAAAGACGCUAGAGAUUGGAGAAAAGGAUGGAGACGAAGAAACAACAUAAUCCCCCCGCCGAACAAAAUGGCGGCUAGGUCUUGUAGCGCUCUACCGUCCGUCUAGCCGUAGCCUACUGUGGGGAACUUUUGUUCAUGUGCACUAGUGCGUGUGUGUGGAAAAUGGAAACUUUCACCAUGGAACAGACGCGCUCGAUGAUGAUGAACGGGCCCGAUUCCCCGAAGGCCGCGGGAGAUAAUCGAUAAAGGCCAAGGCAAGGGUAGCCUUUACUAGUUCAGUGAACGGGAAACAAAAUGCCAACCAAACCUUCAAAACCUUCGGUAGUAGCGUGCUAUUAAUCUAGCCGCGUUUACCACUCUCCAACAACGAACACGAAAGGGAGGAAUUAAAUUACAACAAAAAAAAAAUCGACAAUUUUUGCUCUUGUUA